rnacentral:rRNA from 1 species
GAUGAACGCUGGCGGCGUGCCUAAUUCAUGCAAGUCGAGCGAACAGACGAGGAGCUUGCUCCUCUGACGUUAGCGGCGGACGGGUGAGUAACACGUGGAUAACCUACCUAUAAGACUGGGAUAACUUCGGGAAACCGGAGCUAAUACCGGAUAAUAUAUUGAACCGCAUGGUUCAAUAGUGAAAGACGGUUUUGCUGUCACUUAUAGAUGGAUCCGCGCCGCAUUAGCUAGUUGGUAAGGUAACGGCUUACCAAGGCGACGAUGCGUAGCCGACCUGAGAGGGUGAUCGGCCACACUGGAACUGAGACACGGUCCAGACUCCUACGGGAGGCAGCAGUAGGGAAUCUUCCGCAAAGGGCGAAAGCCUGACGGAGCAACGCCGCGUGAGUGAUGAAGGUCUUCGGAUCGUAAAACUCUGUUAUUAGGGAAGAACAAAUGUGUAAGUAACUAUGCACGUCUUGACGGUACCUAAUCAGAAAGCCACGGCUAACUACGUG